rnacentral:lncRNA from 1 species
AACCCGGGAGGCUGGCCUGGGAGAGAAAGGGGAGGCUAGAGGGAGGGGAAAGGAAGCCAGGGAGGCUGGAAGGACGAGCAACGCGGAGGAAAGGCAGCUGGCAGACGGCGGGACGGAGCAGGACACUAAGUGGAAGGAAAGCUGUGGGUCUCUGCGGCUGGAUGGCGGCUGCUCGCCUGGCAGAACGCGUCAGACUCCGGUGUUAGCAGCGCACGGCCAUACGGACCUGGUACGCAGAAUACAGGAGACCUCACUGAUCUGAAAGUUCAGCAAAAGAUGACUUUUUCUUUCCUCCGGCAUCCUUCAGAGUUGAAGCAAGAGUCAGCUGGGGUAUUUUGGUAAGUUGAUAAACAUGUAAGAGUGAAAGGCUUCAAUGUUACUUUCUCAAAGUUAGACCGGGAUCUGCUUCUCCCAUAAAAUAUAUCUGGAUUGCCACUAUUCCAAGGAAAAGAUUGGGUUGGAAGGGACCUGAACUGUAAG